UAUAUAUAUAUAUAUAUAUAUAUAUAUUUUCCUUCUCCCCUCUUCGUUCUUCAACUGACCCCCUCUGCUAUUUUUCUUUCCGCCUGCUUCCAGCCAUCGUCGUCUUCUUCGUUCACGCUGCCAGGUCCGCCGAUCGCACCAUCGAAUGCGUGAAGCCUCAACUAUCCGAUUCGUCGUUUGUGUGCGCUGCUCAGCCGCCGCUCGUUCACGUCGUCCCAUUCAUCUUUUCCUUUUUUGAUUGCUGAAAUCUUGAGAUUUGUUUGGAUUCAGGAAUUUGGGGUUGUGAAGCAAGUUGUCCAGUGGAGUAGAGAUUCAUUUUGGCAAUUUCGGUGACCAUUAAUUGUCGGGGGUUAAUUUAAGAAUUUUCAGUCGAAGAGGAAUUUAUUUGCUAGUUGUUCACAUAAAUCAAGGUGAGUGAUUUACUAUUGGUUUGCCCUCGAAUCCCAAGUUGGUAUUAAGACUGUGAAUACAUUAUUAAACAUGUUUCUGUUGUGAUAAAAUAUUCUGCCGUGAUUAACUUAUAUACGAUUGUUGAGACU